UGCGACCUCAGGUCAGGCGGGGCU
rnacentral:rRNA from 2 species